AUACGUAGGGGCCAAACGUUGUCCGGAUUUAUUGGGCGUAAAGGGCUCGUAGGCGGUUUAACAAGUCGGUCGUGAAAACCCGGGGCUCAACCCCGGGACGCCGGUCGAAACUGUUAUGACUAGGGUCCGGUAGAGGUGAGUGGAAUUCUCGGUGUAGCGGUGGAAUGCGCAGAUAUCGAGAGGAACACCAGUAGCGAAGGCGGCUCACUGGGCCGGUACCGACGCUGAGGAGCGAAAGCAUGGGGAGCAAACAGGAGUAGAAACCCUAGUAGUCC
rnacentral:rRNA from 1 species